rnacentral:ribozyme from 1 species
CCUCGCCAUAUAAACCGCCGUCACUCCGUGCCUGUUGACAAUGCAGUCCUACUCUCUCAUCGGCAGUGUUGCUGUUAACGCCAUCC